CGUCAGGUAGCCUAGUGGUUUAGAGGGGCGUCAGGUAGCCUAGUGGUUUAGAGGGGCGUCAGGUAGCCUAGUGGUUAAGAGGGGCGUCAGGUAGCCUAGUGGUUAAGAGGGGCGUCAGGUAGCCUAGUGGUUUAGAGGGGCGUCAGGUAGCCUAGUGGUUAAGAGGGGCGGCAGGUAGCCUAGUGGUUUAGAGCGUUGGGUCAGUAACUGAAAAGGUUGCUGGAUUGAAUCGCCGAGCCGACAAGGUAAAAAUCUGUUGCUCUUCCCCACUGUUCCUCCGGUAGGCCGGUCAUUGUAAAUAAUAAUUUGUCUUGCCUAGUUAAAUGAAAGGUUAAAUAAAUAUUUACUUGUGACAACUUUCAACACUUAACGGGAACUGAUCUGAAAACAAGACCGG
ensembl:lncRNA